GUGGGGCGGCAGUAGCUCAGUCCAUAGGGACUUGGGUUGGGAACCGGAGGGUCGCCUGUUCGAGUCCCCGUCCGGACCAAAAUAUGGAGCGUGGACUGGUGGCUGGAGAGGUGCCAGUUCACCUCCUGGGCACUGCCGAGGUGCCCCUGAGCAAGGCACCGAACCCCCCAACCGCUCAGAGCGCCUGUCAUGGGCAGCCCACUCUGACAUCUCUCCACUUAGUGCAUGUAUAGGUCCAGUUUGUGCAUGUGUGUGUUCCGACCUGUGUGUAAUUGACAAACAGAGUGAAAAA